rnacentral:rRNA from 1 species
UACGGGGGGGGGCAAGCGUUGUUCGGAAUUACUGGGCGUAAAGGGCGCGUAGGCGGCCUACUAAGUCGGACGUGAAAUCCCUCGGCUCAACCGAGGAACUGCGUCCGAUACUGGCAGGCUGGAAUCCGGGAGAGGGGAUGUGGAAUUCCAGGUGUAGCGGUGAAAAUGCGUAGAUAUCUGGAGGAACACCGGUGGCGAAGGCGGCAUCCUGGACCGGUAUUGACGCUGAGGCGCGAAAAGCUAGGGGGAGCAAACGGGGAU